AGGGGAAGAUCCACCUGAAAUUCAGUAUCAACCAAACAGUUAUCUCUUUCUGGCAACUGAAGAUAGAGUUGAACAAAUAAAAGAAAAUAACAGAUUACAGAAAGGUUUAGGAGCAAAAGUUGAAUUAUUAACAGCAAAACAGUUAAAAGAAAAUUUUCCUUGGUUAAAUACUGAUGGAAUAGCAAUAGGAUCACUUGGUUUAGAAAAUGAGGGAAGGUUUGAUCCUCAUUCACUUUUGGGUGCAUUUCAGAAAAAAGCUAUAGCAAAUGGAACUGCAUUUGUCAAAGGUGAAGUAGUUGGAUUUAAAUUUAGAAACUGUCAUGAAGGUUAUAUUGCAGAAGAAGAUCCAUUGUUAACUGUUAAUUAUUUAUUAGU